ensembl:Y_RNA Y_RNA Y RNA
GGCUGGUCCGAAGGUAGUGAGGUAUUUCAGUUGGUUGUUCACAGUCAUUUACAGAUCGAACUCCUUGUUCUACCCGUUCUCCCCUUCCUACUGCACUUGACUACUCUUUA